rnacentral:rRNA from 1 species
GACGUAGGGCGCGAGCGUUGUCCGGAUUUAUUGGGCGUAAAGAGCUCGUAGGCGGCUUGUUACGUCGUUCGUGAAAACUUGGGGCUCAACCCCAAGCUUGCGGUCGAUACGGGCAGGCUAGAGUUCGGUAGGGGAGACUGGAAUUCCUGGUGUAGCGGUGAAAUGCGCAGAUAUCAGGAGGAACACCGGUGGCGAAGGCGGUUCUCUGGGCCUGUACUGACGCUGAGGAACGAAAGCGUGGGGAGCGAACAGG